UACGUAUGGUGCAAGCGUUGUUCGGAAUCAUUGGGCGUAAAGGGUAUGUAGGCGGAUUUAUAAGUCAGAUGUGAAAACUGUGGGCUCAACCCACAGCCUGCAUUUGAUACUGUGGAUCUGGAGUUUGGGAGAGGGAAGCGGAAUUCCUGGUGUAGCGGUGAAAUGCGUAGAUAUCAGGAGGAACACCGGUGGCGAAAGCGGCUUCCUGGCCUAAAACUGACGCUGAGAUACGAAAGUGUGGGGAGUGAACGGG
rnacentral:rRNA from 1 species